UACAGAGGGUGCAAGCGUUAAUCGGAAUUACUGGGCGUAAAGCGUGCGUAGACGGUUAUGUAAGUCGGAUGUGAAAGCCCCGGGCUCAACCUGGGAAUUGCAUUCGAGACUGCAUAGCUAGGAUGCGGAAGAGGGAAGCGGAAUUUCCGGUGUAGCGGUGAAAUGCGUAGAUAUCGGAAGGAACACCAGUGGCGAAAGCGGCUUCCUGGUCCAGCAUCGACGUUCAGGCACGAAAGCGUGGGGAGCAAACAGG
rnacentral:rRNA from 1 species